rnacentral:rRNA from 1 species
UAGGGAAUCUUCCACAAUGGACGCAAGUCUGAUGGAGCAACGCCGCGUGAGUGAAGAAGGUUUUCGGACCGUAAAGCUCUGUUGUUGGUGAAGAAGGAUAGAGGUAGUAACUGGCCUUUAUUUGACGGUAAUCAACCAGAAAGUCACGGCUAACUACGUGCCAGCAGCCGCGGUAAUACGUAGGUGGCAAGCGUUGUCCGGAUUUAUUGGGCGUAAAGCGAGCGCAGGCGGAAGAAUAAGUCUGAUGUGAAAGCCCUCGGCUUAACCGAGGAAUUGCAUCGGAAACUGUUUUCUUGAGUGCAGAAGAGGAGAGUAGAACUCCAUGUGUAGCGGUAGAAUGCGUAGAUAUAUGGAAGAAUACCAGUGGCGAAGGCGGCUCUCUGGUCUGCAACUGACGCUGAGGCUCGAAAGCAUGGGUAGCGAACAGGAUUAGAUACCCUGGUAGUCCAUGCCGUAAACGAUGAGUGCUAAGUGUUGGGAGGCUUCCGCCUCUCAGUGCUGCAGCUAACGCAUUAAGCACUCCGCCUGGGGAGUACGACCGCAAGGUUGAAAC